CCCCUAGACGUUCUGGGCUGCACGCGCGCUACACUGAAGGAAUCAGCGUGGCUUUCUCCCUGACCCGAAAGGGUUGGGAAACCCGUUGAAUCUCCUUCGUGAUAGGGAUUGGGGCUUGAAAUUGUUCCCCAUGAACGAGGAAUUCCCAGUAAGCGCGAGUCAUAAGCUCGCGUUGAUUACGUCCCUGCCCUUUGUACACACCGCCCGUCGCUACUACCGAUUGAACGGUUUAGUGAGGGCCUCGGAUUGGUCUCGGCCCGCUCUUCACCGGGCGGCGCCGUUGGUCGAGAAGACGCUCGAACUUGAUCGUUUAGAGGAAGUAAAAGUCGUAACA
rnacentral:rRNA from 1 species